CACCAAGCUCCUUAAUGUAUUGGGUUUUUUCAUCAACACAAUAUGGAAUAUUUAGGGAAUAUCAACCCCAGAUUUUUUUCCAUCUUAAAUAUGUUUCUUUCUUUGUUUAGCUGUUUUACUUGGUUUAGGGUUAGGGUUAGGGUUAUUUGCUAGCUUUUUCAUUUGGUUUAUUCACUGAGGAGCAAUUGUAGGUUUAAUUUGUGUUCCGUUUCAAACCUUCUGCCAGUUUUGUAUUUUCUCAUAUAAACUGAUACAAAACGGAUAUGUGUAUUCACAGG
rnacentral:lncRNA from 1 species